rnacentral:lncRNA from 1 species
CAUAGGUUUGAAUAUCAGAGGCUGCUUGAGUCCCACAUUCCUCCCUUCUAGUUGCCUGAUCUUCUGGUAGGCUUGCAAGCAUUCCCAGUGAUGCAGUAGCUGAUGAGGGAGCUGCAGGGACAUGCUAUCAAGCUGAUUUCACUCAACAAAUAGAAAUCCUUUGUGGACCACUGAAAAAUGCGGUUUCCUGGGGAGUUAAUAAAAGUGGAUUCGAAAAACAAAGUUAGUUGUUCAAAACCUAAGGCCAAAAAGAGAAAGCUGAAUUUUCUAUUAGCCUGCAGCAUGUGUAAUUUCAAACCAUUUCAACCUACUUUGCCUCAGACAUUUUAACCUUGAGGAAGGUAACUACAAAAGCUGCAGGGUAACAGAAUCCAGUUCUUAGCACUUGUUUCUCUAUUUAUUUAUUUAAUCAUACCUCCCUAUGUAGCAUUUUAUGGAGUGACACUAUGCAGCAGCACAUCAUCUUUCUUUCACUGUGCUAUGUCUACACUGCUCCUGGUGCCUUCGCAGUGGGAGUCUUUGUGUAGUGUGUUGAGCCACCAUGCUGUACUUCCCUUGGCUGCUUGUUUCUCACUCUCUGCCCCUUACAAGCACAACUGGGGCCACUUACGAUAACGCGGGACCUCGCAAAGCUCCCGCAACCCUCAGCAGACCCUGAGCAAACCGUCGGUGCACUGGCACACCUGUGAGGUGCCACCUGGCUGCGUUACCCCCUCAUGGACGCGGGGGGGGGGCAAAGAAGCAGCACGCUGGCUGCCUGGGCCAGCACCUCACGCCCCCGGCCGCCACUCCUCAGCCGAGCCUCGGCGCACCUGCGGCUCCUGACUGGGAGAGAGCCGCAGAGCCGCAGCCCCGGCUCUGGAAGGGACCGGGGCUGGAAGGGGGCUCAGCCCCGCCGCCGGAUCCGCACGCACCUGCUGCCGGCCGCCGCCUGCCCCGCUCCGUUCCCCGCCCGGCGCGGCGCCCCCUCCUCCCCGCCCACCAUUUUCUUUCCUCUCAGACAGGCACAGCGGCGGGCGGGCGACCGCCUUCGUCUCCCUCCCCUUCUCCUCAGAUGCCCUUUGCUGCUGCAGGGUUAUUAUUACAAUCAUGUAGAAAGGACAGAAAGUGAGCAGGGAGCGGGGGCUUUUGUCUAUCCUUGUGCUACCUGAGAGAAGCUGCAGUCCCAAGACCUUACAGUCUAAAAAUGGUUAAUCAGCCAAGGUCAACUAUUAUCCAGACAAUCUUCCCAACCAGCCAAGGGGAUGGGGGAUUUCCAGAG